rnacentral:rRNA from 1 species
GUAGUCUCGCACAGAUGCAUAUCAAUAAGCGGAGGAAAAGAAACUAACAGGGAUUCCCUCAGUAACGGCGAGUGAAGCGGGAAGAGCUCAAAUUUGAAAUCUUGAAAGGUCACCUUUCACGAAUUGUAGUUUAAAGAAGUGUUUUCUGUUACGAUCGUAAUAUAAGUUCUUUGGAAUAGGACAUCACAGAGGGUGAGAAUCCCGUCUAUGAUUGCGAUUUGUAGCUUUGUGAUUACACUUUCAAAGAGUCGGGUUGUUUGGGAAUGCAGCCCAAAACGGGAGGUAAAUUUCUUCUAAGGCUAAAUAUUGGCGAGAGACCGAUAGCGAACAAGUACCGUGAGGGAAAGAUGAAAAGAACUUUGAAAAGAGAGUUAAAUAGUACGUGAAAUUGUCAAAAGGGAAGCGUUUAACACCAGUGUUGUUUUCUGAAAAUCAACCUCUGUUAGCUUUAUGCAUGUUUGUUUAGACCUAAUCAGCUAUCUUGCAUGUUCUAUUGUUUGCAGUGGUGCACUUUUCAGUUUACAGGUCAACAUCAGUUUUUUUUACCGUAAAAAAGUUAAAGAAAGGUAGCUCAUGGCUCCGGUCGUGAGUGUUAUAGUCUUUUUCCUAUGCGGUAGGAGAGACUGAGGUCUGCAGUGUAGGCUAUUUGGCUAGAUACUCAGGUGCUAUGUGAUACCAUUUCAUAAACAACUUGUUGAUUAUGUUUUGUCUAUUGCAUACUCGCUUGUACUAUCAUACCUACGCUUAGGAUGUUGAGUCGUAGAGCACGCAG